rnacentral:lncRNA from 1 species
GCAGAGCUCGUAAUUGCUGCGGGGAGGACAGGCCAGCUCUGGAAGAAAACAGGGUCUCGCUCUGUCACCCAGGAUGCAGUGCAGUGGUGCCAGCAUGGCUCAUGGCAACCUCGAACUCCUGGACUCAAGAGAUUCUCCUGCCGCAGCCUCCAAGUAGCUGAGAAUACAGGUGUGCACCACCACCAGGCCUGGCUAAUUUUUUUUUUUUUUUUUUUAAUAAAGACGAGAUCUUGCUAUGUUGCCCA